rnacentral:rRNA from 1 species
AGAGUUUGAUCAGUGGCUCGAGGACGAACGCUGGCGGCGUGCUUCAUACAUGCAAGUCGAACGAGAAUCUCUAGCUUGCUAGAGAGGAAAGUGGCGGACGGGUGAGUAAUAUGUAGAGAAUCUGCCCUUGAGUGGGGGACAACAGAGGGAAACUCCUGCUAAUACCCCAUAUGAGCUAAGCUGAAAUGCUUAUCUUGAAAACUCCGGUGCUCAAGGAUGAGUCUGCAUCUGAUUAGCUAGUUGGCGGUGUAAUGGACCACCAAGGCGACGAUCAGUAGCUGGUUUGAGAGGAUGAUCAGCCACAAUGGGACUGAGACACGGCCCAUACUCC